rnacentral:rRNA from 1 species
GGAUAACCUGGUAAUUCUAUGGCUAAUACAUGCGCAAAUACUAUAUCACUCGGGGGUAUAGUAGUGUUUAUUAGAUACAGAACCUUUACACCUUUUUUAAAGGGUGUAGAAAAAGGUGAUUCAUAGUAACCGAACGGAUCGCAUUAUAAUCAUUUCGAUGAUUGGCGAUAGAUCAUUCAAGUUUCUGACCUAUCAGCUUUCGACGGUAGUGUAUUGGACUACCGUGGCAGUGACGGGUAACGGGGAAUUAGGGUUCGAUUCCGGAGAGGGAGCCUGAGAAACGGCUACCACAUCUAAGGAAGGCAGCAGGCGCGCAAAUUACCCAAUCCUGACUCAGGGAGGUAGUGACAAGAAAUAACAACACUGGAAAUUCUAUUUCUAGUGAUUGGAAUGAUGGGAAUCCAAACCCCUUUCAGAGUAACAAUUGGAGGGCAAGUCUGGUGCCAGCAGCCGCGGUAAUUCCAGCUCCAAUAGCGUAUAUUAAAGUUGUUGCAGUUAAAAAGCUCGUAGUUGGAUAUCUGCUGGAAGCAAUCAGUCCGCCCUUUUAGUGAGGGUGUGUACUUGAUGAAUUCUGGGAUGAUUAUCUUCCCACUAAUAAUAUUAUUAUAUUACGUUGAUUCCUAAUAUGGUAAUAAUUUUUUUUGGGACACCACAGUUACUUUGAGAAAAUUAGAGUGUUUGAAGCAGGCUUGUUGCCUUGAAUACUGCAGCAUGGAAUAACAAUAUAGGAUUUCGGUUCUAUUUUGUUGGUUUCUAGGACUGAAAUAAUGAUUAAUAGGGACAGUUGGGGGCAUUCGUAUUUAACUGUCAGAGGUGAAAAUCUUAGAUUUGUUAAAGACGAACUACUGCGAAAGCAUUUGCC